rnacentral:tRNA from 3 species
GGCGCUGUAGCCAAGUGGUAAGGCAAAGGUCUGCAACACCUCUAUUCAUCGGUUCAAAUCCGAUCAGCGCCU